rnacentral:misc_RNA from 1 species
AUUUAAUAUCUGCUUAUCUGCUUCUGUUGAUUCGCCAUGUCUGCAACCGUUCUCAGCGAUACAAUCCUAGAACCUCAAACAGCAUCGACGAAGCUAAUCGCUCAUAUGGAGGCGGAGUUCGUCAAAUGCGAUUGCUGCGGACUUACAGAAGAGUGUACACCAGCAUACAUAGAACGUGUUCGUGAGCGUUACAGUGGAAAUUGGAUCUGCGGGCUCUGUUCCGAGGCAAUCAACUACGAAAUCCUCCGUUCCGAUAGCCUAAUCACGGCGGAGGAAGCCAUGGAAAAUCACAUGAAGCUGUGCAAGAAAUUCACGGCGUUGAAACCACCUCCAAAUCCUACGGUGCAUUUGAUUACGGCGAUGAGACAGAUUCUGAAGCGCAGUUUAGAUUCUCCCUCACGGGCUAUGAGGUCGAUGCCUCCAAGUCCGACGAAGAAAGCCUCCCGGGCGCCGCCGCUCGCUCGCACCGGCAGCUGCUUGUCGUCUCUCUCUGGUUCGUGAAUCAUCAAAGGUACAGGAUUCCA